GAGGCAUUUUAAUCUAGAAAUGUUAGAAUAUCUUAUGAAAUUAAUUAUGAAUCCAACCUCAAUACAUACAAACUUCCUGCUAUACUGAUAUGACAAUGAUAUUUCUAGGCAUUUUUAAUAUUUAAGAAUAUAUAGGUUUAUAUACUUCUGUAGAUUGCAAAUUAAAAAUAACAAUAUAUUUAUUUUUCAAUUGAAUUCUCUGACAUACAUUUUGCCAUUAUGAUUUCCCAGUUGUCUGAAAAUCCACCCAUGUCUCUGCUUCCCAUUUUGUUGUGUAGUUGUGACGCACUUGGUUGAUUGGUAUUUAUCUUUUGCAAAUGUUAAAAAAAAAAGUGGUUCCAGAGCUUUCCAUUCCAUGUAUCCUAAGCACAUCGAUGUCUCCAGUCUCACCAAGGUCCUUGUCACCUCCUCUUGUGUGUUGCUCAUGACACCAAGUGCUGGAGAGGUUUGGGAUGAGCCUGGUGCUGGUACUCGUGUGUUGCUGGCCUCUUGUUCUUGGAGAGAGGAGCAGCAUCAUUUUCCUGCCUGUUCUUAGUAGAAGCAGUUCUUUCUCCUCUCUUCAGACCCUGGUCUUCAUCAGCUUGCAGGAAUUUCCUCCUCUUGGGAGUUUAGCCUCUGUAACAUCUCCCUGAAAGCUGUAUGGGCAGAUGCACAAGGCAUCACUGCUUUCACACUUGCCUGCAGAGAAGGUCCAUGCUCCAGGCACUGCUGGAGCAGCUCUUCCAGAUCCACCUGUGCUCUUGGGAUUGCCUAAUGCUUGGUCCUACACCAAAGCAUCCUCAGUUUGGUCUCAGCAGAAGAUGCUGGGAGCUGCUGGUGCUCCUCAGAUGGCGGGUCAGGCUGAGCACAAGGGAACACCUUCAUCCUCCACAUCCCAGAAAGGACUUGUGCUUCAGACCAGGACCAGAUGCCCCAAUGCCUCCUCAGGGAGAAAAGAGAGGCUGAGGUUACUGAUCUUGGAUGAGAAGAGCAACUUCCAUGGCUGUGCCAAGAAGCCAUCAGCACUUGGAAAUGGGCCAAAGAUAUAUAGAUAUCCCCAAACUGUCAGGAUACAAUUUUUCAUGUUGGCUACUCCAGAGAAAUCAAUCAACUGUCAUUCCCUCAAGGAUCCACUGAUCAGGUGGAUAAAAAUUGCUUCCCAGUGGUUUCUCCCAGCAUGGCCAGUGCAUGUUCCUUUUUGCCAGAGCUUCCCAGGGGAGGAAAGUGCUUGCAUCCCAGAACACUGAUGGAUCACACCAUCACAUUUGUGCUGGAGCACUUGAAAGACCCUUUUGGCAAUGUGGAAAAGGAUCUUCUAUUCUUUUAAAAGUUCUGCUAUUGCUUAUGAGAACUAUCAAACAAGCCUGGCACCAAGAUAAGGAGGCCUUGACAUUCCUGGGUUAUUGAUGGAUUGCAAAGUAUCCAUUCUGUAACAGGACACUCACUGGGCCUGUCUUUGUGAGGAAAUUCAAACAAGAGCAGUGUUACAGAAAUGGCAUUGAUUUUUUUAAAUACAAGAGCAGCAUCCCUGCCAACCCUCCUCUCUCAAGUGGUGAUUCUGGGAAAGAGCUCAUAGAAAGGAGCACCUAUUUUUGCUAGGUUAACUCUUAAAACUACUAAGGAAGGUUAAAGCUUGCAGGAGUUCCCCAACUCAAAAAGCUGCAGCUGUCCCAUAACAGCAUGGUUUGUUCUGGAUUUCUCCUGAUGAAGGCUCUCCUGGCUCCAGCACUGCUGCUCUGCUUAGACACCAUCAUCAUUGCAGCCUGUCCAGGGUGUUGAGCCUGUGUGAGAAGAGGGAUGUAGAAGAAGGAGUCAGGAUGAUAACACUGUUUCCAGGCAUAGCAGAGGUACUGGAUCUGCAUUCAAGUCAGAGGUGGUGUGAGUAAAUGAGUCAAACAUCUGAGAAAUCUCAUAGAAUCACAGAAUAGUUUGGCUUGGAAGAGACCUUCACAGCAUGUCUAGUUCCAAUUCCCAGCCACAGCAAGGGACCCUUUCACCUAGACCUGUUUGCUCCAAGCCCCACCCAGCCUGGCACUAAACACUUGAAAUCCUCCAAAAAACAUCUGAAGAAUUUUUUCAAGGUGCAGGGACCAGAUGUGUGCCAGAGGGCACAGUUCUGAGUUUCCAAACCAGUACUGAGCACAUCCUCUCCACUGUGACACUGCAGGAGCACAGCUGCUUCUAGAACUGCAGGGGCUGAGCACCAGUGUUGGGCUGGACACACCUCAGUAACACAAGUGAUUCUGGAGUUGUGGUGUGUAUGCACAGCUGACACUUGUUCAUGGAUGUUUCUUGGAGCCUGGACCCAUGUGUGCCCCCAGCUGAAAAUAACCUUGGCACCUGUGAGCCUGGUUCAGCAUGUUGGCAUGGGAGCAGCCAUGGCUGGCAAAGCUGCCAGCUUCACCCCUGAGCUUCAGAUGGGACCAAACCAACCUCCUGUGCUCCAUCUUCAUCUGCAAGUGUUUGGGACUGAAUUACUCAAGGCACUUGGAGCAGCAAAUAGGAAUUUUCAGUAUAAUACAUUGUGUUAAAAAUAUCCUACUCUACUGCAAUAAAUGUAUGCAACAAUU